rnacentral:lncRNA from 13 species
AUGAAUAGGUGUUCCUACAUAAAGAGUAAUCUAUCAACUAGACAUUUUGGAGGCAUUCCUGGACUCAGGGUUACUCAGAAGUUACAUGGCGAAUUAGCAUUUAAAAUAAAGUUAUUCUCGUUCCCACAAGUACAAGUGUUCACUGACAUCCAAUCCAUUUCUUCUAGUGAUGUGGAAGACUCCUUCCUGGAAUAUGGGCAGGCUCAUGAGUGUAGCACUGGUCAACGAAAUGUGAUUUGCUCUUGAACAAUUAACAGAGUGAAGGCUGUGUUCCAUCUCCUCACAGGCUCCCGCCGGGCACCCUUGGGAGCGCAGGAGGAGAAAGGCUUUCUUCUUGAUCCUAUUACUGCUGCCCAGCGUCAAGAAGGAUUAAUUAACCCACCAGGUUUUGCUUCAUUACGAGGAAAAAAGAAAAGCCAGUGACAGUGGAAUUCAAACAUUGAACAGGUAAAGGACUCAGUGCUCAAGCACCUUAUGAACAUUUCGCAGACUUAGCUGGGCGGUGUGGCGCAAUGGAAAGUGGGGUGACUUGGUGCAAGUUAUACAACCCUGCAGCCUUUGUUUUUUCAUCCUCAGAAUUCACACUUCAAUUCCACAAAUUGACAGCCUACUCUGAGCUAAGCCCCACCUACUUUGAGCCCCUACUCUGAGCUAAGAAACAGUCUUUCAUCCCCAAGGAAGCUUUCUGCCUAGAAGGAACUAAAGACCAUAAUCAUACUUAUUUUCCAGUGCUGUUGUUAGAAUUAAUUAAAUGUGGUAUAGCAUGUGAAAGUACUCUGUAACUAAGCAUUGUAUAAACGUUAAUUAUUCUCAUUUUAAUAUUUGAUAUUCAGGAGCACUUAUUAGGGCAAAGAACUAUACUAGCAGCUAACAGUUAUGUGAAAGAAUUUGAAGACCUUGGUUUUGCUGUUUAGGAAGGUGGCAGAGCAAUUAAGACACACACAUGAUAUAAUUAAACAACAAAGUUGGGCCUGAAGAGGUUUCAUCUCACAGACUGACCAUGGCUGGUUGGUUAUGGCUAUCUGGAGUAUUAUGCUGAAGAGGAUUCUGAAGCUCUUUCUGGGCUCAAUUGAAAAGGGUGUUCUGAUGUGUUAGCAAUGAAUGCCAUGGGCAUAAGCUGGGCAUCAGCAGGACACGUACUAGGCAUUUAUGGUGCCUAACACAAGGUAGCAAACAUAAUGAUACAAGUAACUUAUUGAAAUUCAGCCAAAGUUGGCUUGUGUGGCUAGCAAAGAAUUUAGAGGAG